rnacentral:rRNA from 1 species
UACGUAGGGCGCAAGCGUUGUCCGGAAUUAUUGGGCGUAAAGAGCUCGUAGGCGGCUUGUCGCGUCGGAUGUGAAAGCCCGGGGCUUAACUCCGGGUCUGCAUUCGAUACGGGCAGGCUAGAGUUCGGUAGGGGAGAUCGGAAUUCCUGGUGUAGCGGUGAAAUGCGCAGAUAUCAGGAGGAACACCGGUGGCGAAGGCGGAUCUCUGGGCAACAACUGACGCUGAGGAGCGAAAGCGUGGGGAGCGAACAGG